UUAAGCGACUAAGCGUACACGGUGGAUGCCCUGGCAGUCAGAGGCGAUGAAGGACGUGCUAAUCUGCGAAAAGCGUCGGUAAGGUGAUAUGAACCGUUAUAACCGGCGAUGUCCGAAUGGGGAAACCCAGUGUGAUUCGUGACACUAUCGUUAACUGAAUACAUAGGUUAACGAGGCGAACCGGGGGAACUGAAACAUCUAAGUACCCCGAGGAAAAGAAAUCAACCGAGAUUCCCCCAGUAGCGGCGAGCGAACGGGGAGCAGCCCAGAGUCUGAAUCAGCUUGUGUGUUAGUGGAACGGUCUGGAAAGUCCGACGGUACAGGGUGAUAGUCCCGUACACCAAAAUGCACAGGUUGUGAACUCGAAGAGUAGGGCGGGACACGUGGUAUCCUGUCUGAAUAUGGGGGGACCAUCCUCCAAGGCUAAAUACUCCUGACUGACCGAUAGUGAACCAGUACCGUGAGGGAAAGGCGAAAAGAACCCCGGCGAGGGGAGUGAAAAAGAACCUGAAACCGUGUACGUACAAGCAGUGGGAGCACCUUCGGGUGUGACUGCGUACCUUUUGUAUAAUGGGUCAGCGACUUAUAUUCUGUAGCAAGGUUAACCGUAUAGGGGAGCCGCAGGGAAACCGAGUCUUAACUGGGCGUUAAGUUGCAGGGUAUAGACCCGAAACCCGGUGAUCUAGCCAUGGGCAGGUUGAAGGUUGGGUAACACUAACUGGAGGACCGAACCGACUAAUGUUGAAAAAUUAGCGGAUGACUUGUGGCUGGGGGUGAAAGGCCAAUCAAACCGGGAGAUAGCUGGUUCUCCCCGAAAGCUAUUUAGGUAGCGCCUCGUGAAUUCAUCUUCGGGGGUAGAGCACUGUUUCGGCUAGGGGGUCAUCCCGACUUACCAACCCGAUGCAAACUACGAAUACCGAAGAAUGUUAUCACGGGAGACACACGGCGGGUGCUAACGUCCGUCGUGAAGAGGGAAACAACCCAGACCGCCAGCUAAGGUCCCAAAGUCAUGGUUAAGUGGGAAACGAUGUGGGAAGGCACAGACAGCCAGGAUGUUGGCUUAGAAGCAGCCAUCAUUUAAAGAAAGCGUAAUAGCUCACUGGUCGAGUCGGCCUGCGCGGAAGAUGUAACGGGGCUAAACCAUGCACCGAAGCUGCGGCAGCGACACUAUGUGUUGUUGGGUAGGGGAGCGUUCUGUAAGCCUGCGAAGGUGCUGUGAGGUGCUGGAGGUAUCAGAAGUGCGAAUGCUGACAUAAGUAACGAUAAAGCGGGUGAAAAGCCCGCUCGCCGGAAGACCAAGGGUUCCUGUCCAACGUUAAUCGGGGCAGGGUGAGUCGACCCCUAAGGCGAGGCCGAAAGGCGUAGUCGAUGGGAAACAGGUUAAUAUUCCUGUACUUGGUGUUACUGCGAAGGGGGGACGGAGAAGGCUAUGUUAGCCGGGCGACGGUUGUCCCGGUUUAAGCAUGUAGGCUGAUUGUCCAGGCAAAUCCGGAUAAUCAAGGCUGAGGUGUGAUGACGAGGCACUACGGUGCUGAAGUAACAAAUGCCCUGCUUCCAGGAAAAGCCUCUAAGCAUCAGGUAACAUCAAAUCGUACCCCAAACCGACACAGGUGGUCAGGUAGAGAAUACCAAGGCGCUUGAGAGAACUCGGGUGAAGGAACUAGGCAAAAUGGUGCCGUAACUUCGGGAGAAGGCACGCUGGUGUGUAGGUGAAGUCCCUGCGGAUGGAGCUGAGACCAGUCGAAGAUACCAGCUGGCUGCAACUGUUUAUUAAAAACACAGCACUGUGCAAACACGAAAGUGGACGUAUACGGUGUGACGCCUGCCCGGUGCCGGAAGGUUAAUUGAUGGGGUUAUCCGUAAGGAGAAGCUCUUGAUCGAAGCCCCGGUAAACGGCGGCCGUAACUAUAACGGUCCUAAGGUAGCGAAAUUCCUUGUCGGGUAAGUUCCGACCUGCACGAAUGGCGUAAUGAUGGCCAGGCUGUCUCCACCCGAGACUCAGUGAAAUUGAACUCGCUGUGAAGAUGCAGUGUACCCGCGGCAAGACGGAAAGACCCCGUGAACCUUUACUAUAGCUUGACACUGAACAUUGAGCCUUGAUGUGUAGGAUAGGUGGGAGGCUUUGAAGCGUGGACGCCAGUCUGCGUGGAGCCAACCUUGAAAUACCACCCUUUAAUGUUUGAUGUUCUAACGUUGGCCCCUUACCGGGGUUGCGGACAGUGUCUGGUGGGUAGUUUGACUGGGGCGGUCUCCUCCCAAAGCGUAACGGAGGAGCACGAAGGUUAGCUAAUCCUGGUCGGACAUCAGGAGGUUAGUGCAAUGGCAUAAGCUAGCUUGACUGCGAGCGUGACGGCGCGAGCAGGUGCGAAAGCAGGUCAUAGUGAUCCGGUGGUUCUGAAUGGAAGGGCCAUCGCUCAACGGAUAAAAGGUACUCCGGGGAUAACAGGCUGAUACCGCCCAAGAGUUCAUAUCGACGGCGGUGUUUGGCACCUCGAUGUCGGCUCAUCACAUCCUGGGGCUGAAGUAGGUCCCAAGGGUAUGGCUGUUCGCCAUUUAAAGUGGUACGCGAGCUGGGUUUAGAACGUCGUGAGACAGUUCGGUCCCUAUCUGCCGUGGGCGCUGGAGAAUUGAGGGGGGCUGCUCCUAGUACGAGAGGACCGGAGUGGACGCAUCACUGGUGUUCGGGUUGUCAUGCCAAUGGCACUGCCCGGUAGCUAAAUGCGGAAGAGAUAAGUGCUGAAAGCAUCUAAGCACGAAACUUGCCCCGAGAUGAGUUCUCCCUGAGACUUUAAGUCUCCUGAAGGAACGUUGAAGACGACGACGUUGAUAGGCCGGGUGUGUAAGCGCAGCGAUGCGUUGAGCUAACCGGUACUAAUGAACCGUGAGGCUUAACCU
rnacentral:rRNA from 1 species